AAUGUAUAUGGGAGACAUAGUCUAUAUACAUGGGAUGGAAAUCUAUAUUGAUAGAUUUCAAGAUAUAAAUUGAUUAUAUCAAUCCCUAAUAAUAGACAAAAGAUGCUAGGAAGUUUCUCAUAUGAUGAAAAACUUUAAUCAGAAAGACAACUCCAGUUAGACUAGGAAGUUGCUUUUCUCAAAGGGAACGUACCCUUUGACUCCCAAAGAAAUAAUUCGUAAAUAAAAUCCUUUAUGCAUACGUAUAAAGGUGAUUUAUGUAUUUCAUAUUGUAUGAAAAACAUUGAUAUGAGUUGUACCUAGAAUGGUACAAGACGAUAUCAGUGCAAGCCCAGGAUCAGAACCAUGGCAACUGUCAAGUGAGUCCUUAAGUAUUUAAGAAAUACUAAAGGAUAAAUCCCUCAAAGAUCGAGGAAGAAUUAGAGUAACGUAAUGGAAGCGUAAAUGUAUUAGAUUAUGAAUCUAAUCCA
rnacentral:lncRNA from 1 species